GAUGAACGCUGGCGGCGUGCCUAAUACAUGCAAGUCGAGCGAACAGAUAAGGAGCUUGCUCCUUUGACGUUAGCGGCGGACGGGUGAGUAACACGUGGGUAACCUACCUAUAAGACUGGGAUAACUUCGGGAAACCGGAGCUAAUACCGGAUAAUAUUUCGAACCGCAUGGUUCGAUAGUGAAAGAUGGUUUUGCUAUCACUUAUAGAUGGACCCGCGCCGUAUGAGCUAGUUGGUAAGGUAACGGCUUACCAAGGCGACGAUACGUAGCCGACCUGAGAGGGGGAUCGGCCACACUGGAACGGAGACACGGUCCAGACUCCUACGGGAGGCAGCAGUAGGGAAUCUUCCGCAAUGGGCGAAAGCCUGACGGAGCAACGCCGCGUGAGUGAUGAAGGUCUUCGGAUCGUAAAACUCUGUUAUGAGGGAAGAACAUACGUGUAAGUAACUGUGCACGUCUUGACGGUACCUAAUCAGAAAGCCACGGCUAACUACGUG
rnacentral:rRNA from 1 species